GUCCUAAAAGCUAAAAGCAGUUAAUCUUGUAAAUUAAACGAUUUGGGUUAAAAUCCUUCUUAGGGCU
rnacentral:tRNA from 1 species